CAGGCACGUGGAACUGUUUCAGGCAAGAGGCAAGGCUUCAGUAACAGGGAGCGGCUUCAGGCACAGGGAACGUCUUCAGGCACGGGGCGCACCUUCAACCAUGGGGUUUGUCUUCAGGCACUGGGAGCACCUUCAGGCUUGCAUCUUCCCUCUACCUCUAUACUCCAAGUUCCUGGCUGGCACUGGAGUUACAUCCUUAGCACGGACAUCAUAACCUCCACGUGAGGGUCCCACGACAUCACCUCAUCGAUGCAGUCGAUGGUUUGUUCCAGAUUCAGGCUAGUUUCCGGGAAGAAACCCUGACAGAAAUUCAGAAGAACGGGAGCUGCAUUCCGUUAGGACAUGAAUACAUGAAAUUCUCUUCCUGGGAACUCCUAGAAGUAUGAGCUAGGACCCAUUUUCCAAGUUCUGCUGAAACCAGUGACCGAGUCUAUGCAAGUCAGAAUCAACCUCCAACCGCCUCCAUCCUUUAUGAGACCUAAGACGUGAUGCAGCUCCAAUGGGAAAUAUCAGUUGUGUCUCUACCAAGGAUGCAGAAAAAGACAAGAUUCAGGCUUGUUUCCGGGAAGAAACCCUGACAGAAAUUCAGAAGAACGGUAGCUACAUUCUAUUAGGAGUUGAAUACACGAAAUGUUCGUCUCAGGACCUUCUAGGAGAAUGAGCUGGGACCCACUUUCCGAGUCCUGCUGGAACCAGAGACCAAGAAAAUAAAAACGCCCUGGAAGACAAGUGUGAUGCAUUGAGGUCUGUAAAAGCCACAAAGGAAGCAAAAGUCAAACAGCUGAAGGAGAAAGCACAUAACCUAGAAGAAUUCUAUGAACAAAGAAAAGUGCCUACAAAAAAGAAGCUGAAAAUGACACUGUGAACUGGCGGCAAAGAAGAAUCAGCUGGCAGCUGCAGGCAACAAAUUGAACAAACACGGGAACAGCUGCAGCAGACAGAGCUCACCUUUAGAUACCAGCUUGCAGUUCAUGAGAAUGCUCAGGACAACUAGG